UGACGGUGUAGCACAUCCGUAGAGAAGACAACAUGAGGGCCAACGCAUUGUCUCAGCUGGCCUCGACUAAGAAGAAAAACCACUUGUGAGGUUUUGCAGCGGACAAAAGGAAAGGUGUUUGAUGAAGGUUUAAGUGAAUUCAAUCUGUGGAAAAGUGUUUCUAAACAGUGGAAACAGAAUGUAAUCAGUGAAAAGAGAUUAUAAACAGUGGAAAAACAAAAAUUAUAGAAGAAAAAGCAAGAACAAGGUUGAACAACAGAUCAAAAACUGUAAAUUUUGACCUAGCUGGGUGAAGCUUGGCAAUGGGAUCUUGGUGUACUCUGAUCCACCUAAUGCAAUCUAAGUUUGAGAUUGGAUGAAGACACGGAGUGAUAGCGAAAGUGAUUGGAGAUAUGCACCGAAAAUGAGAGGAAAAGGUGACGUUUGGAGCGAGUUUGAGGUGCUAUAAAGAAGAAAGAGGUGUGACCAACUUUCUUAGGGUUUAACUAGGCCAAUAAGGCUCUCUAGCAAGGGAGAUUUGAGAGAGAAUGAGUUUCAAAUUUUGAAUACUUCAUUCGAUAAUGCCAAAUUUGAAUAGAUAAGGUUUGUUUGAGGUAUUUAUAGAUGAAAAGAGUGAGGGUAGCUUGUUACUUAAGCUACCAU
rnacentral:lncRNA from 1 species